rnacentral:lncRNA from 1 species
GGUCAGAGGCCUGCAGUGUACACUGGAGGGUCAGCCUCUGGACCCUGUGCACAGCAACCUGUGGCAACUAUGGCUUCCAGUCCCGGCGGGUGGAGUGUGUUCACGUGCGCACCAACAAGGCUGUGCCUGAGCACCUGUGUUCCUGGGGGCCCCGACCCGCCAACUGGCAACGCUGCAACAUCACUCCAUGUGAAAACACUGAGUGCAGAGACACCACCAGGUACUGCGAGAAGGUGAGACAGUUGAAACUCUGCCAGCUCGGCCAGUUCCGAUCUCGCUGCUGUGGAACGUGUGGCAAAGCAUGAAGACAGGGUACAGGGAUGAACUCUACCCUGGCCACACAAAGGACUCAUACAACCACCUUGGACAUGACUUACGCUUUCUUCCUUUUAUUUAUUUAUUUGCCCC